GAUGAACGCUGGCGGCGUGCUUAACACAUGCAAGUCGAACGAGAAGUGGAGACGGAAACCUUCGGGCGGAAGACUUUAUUUCGAGUGGCGGACGGGUGAGUAACGCGUGGGUAACCUGCCUCAUACAGGGGGAUAACAGUUGGAAACGACUGUUAAUACCGCAUAAGACCACAGCACCGCAUGGUGCGGGGGUAAAAACUCCGGUGGUAUGAGAUGGACCCGCGUUCGAUUAGCCAGUUGGCGGGGUAACGGCCCACCAAAGCGACGAUCGAUAGCCGAUCUGAGAGGAUGACCGGCCACAUUGGGACUGAGACACGGCCCAAAUUCCUACGGGAGGCAGCAGUGGGGAAUAUUGCACAAUGGGGGAAACCCUGAUGCAGCGACGCCGCGUGAGUGAAGAAGUAUUUCGGUAUGUAAAGCUCUAUCAGCAGGGAAGAAAAUGACGGUACCUGAGUAAGAAGCCCCGGCUAACUACGUG
rnacentral:rRNA from 1 species